GACGAACGCUGGCGGCGUGCUUAACACAUGCAAGUCGAACGGUAAGGCCCUUCGGGGUACACGAGUGGCGAACGGGUGAGUAACACGUGGGUGAUCUGCCCUGCACUUCGGGAUAAGCCUGGGAAACUGGGUCUAAUACCGGAUAGGACCACUGCCUGCAUGGGUGGUGGGGGACAGCUUUUGCGGUGCGGGAUGGGCCCGCGGCCUAUCAGCUUGUUGGUGGGGUGAGGGCCUACCAAGGCGACGACGGGUAGCCGGCCUGAGAGGGUGACCGGCCACACUGGGACUGAGAUACGGCCCAGACUCCUACGGGAGGCAGCAGUGGGGAAUACUGCACAAUGGGCGCAAGCCUGAUACAGCGACGCCGCGUGAGGGAUGACGGCCUUCGGGUUGUAAACCUCUUUCAGCACCGACGAAGCGCAAGUGACGGUAGGUGCAGAAGAAGGACCGGCCAACUACGUGCCAGCCGCCGCCGUAA
rnacentral:rRNA from 1 species